rnacentral:sRNA from 1 species
CACUCGACCAAUCACACUACCAACAUGGUCGAGUAUCACCAUCAUCAUUCACUUGACCAAUCACUCUACCAACAGGUCGAGUAUCAUCAUCAUCACUCACUCGACCAAUCACUCUACCAACAGGUCGAGUAUCACCAUCAUCAUUCACUCGACCAAUCACUCUACCAACAUGGCCGAGUUCCACCAUUAUCAUUCACUCGACCAAUCACUCUACCACCAAGUCGAGUACUACCACCACCAUCCACUCGACCAAUCACUCUACCACAUGGUCGAGUCCCUUAUCAUCAUUCACUCGACGUCUUUACUCGACUGCCAGCUUCAGAGUCUUCUCCAUUCCGCACUCAACCAGACACUCGAGCACAAGGAAGAAAAGAAGACUUUAGCUUAUCACUCGACCACUCACUCGACCACCUGGGUCGAGUACUGUUCUUAAUCCGUCCUAAUACUGCGUCGUUUUGAGUAUUAGGGUUUGAGA